rnacentral:rRNA from 2 species
AUGAAGGCUAGCUACAGGCUUAACACAUGCAAGUCGACCGGAAACGACAUCGAAAGCUUGCUUUUGAUGGGCGUCGACCGGCGCACGGGUGAGUAACGCGUAUCCAACCUGCCCAUCACUUGGGGAUAACCUUGCGAAAGUAAGACUAAUACCCAAUGAUAUCCCACGAAGGCAUCCGAAUGGGAUUAAAGAUUUAUCGGUGAUGGAUGGGGAUGCGUCUGAUUAGCUUGUUGGCGGGGUAACGGCCCACCAAGGCGACGAUCAGUAGGGGUUCUGAGAGGAAGGUCCCCCACAUUGGAACUGAGACACGGUCCAAACUCCUACGGGAGGCAGCAGUGAGGAAUAUUGGUCAAUGGGCGAGAGCCUGAACCAGCCAAGUAGCGUGCAGGAAGACGGCCCUAUGGGUUGUAAGCUGCUUUUAUAAGGGAAUAAAGUGAGUCUCGUGAGACUUUUUGCAUGUACCUUAUGAAUAAGGACCGGCUAAUUCCGUGCCAGCAGCCGCGGUAAUACGGAAGGUCCGGGCGUUAUCCGGAUUUAUUGGGUUUAAAGGGAGCGUAGGCCGGAGAUUAAGCGUGUUGUGAAAUGUAGAGGCUCAACCUCUGCACUGCAGCGCGAACUGGUCUUCUUGAGUACGCACAACGUGGGCGGAAUUCGUGGUGUAGCGGUGAAAUGCUUAGAUAUCACGAAGAACUCCGAUUGUGAAGGCAGCUCACGGGAGCGCAACUGCCGCUGAAGCUAGAAAGUGCGGGUAUAGAACAGGAUUAGAU